GUCAGAAGAGGGCAUUGGAUCCCCAGAAACUAGAGUUAUAGAUGGUUGUAAGCCACCAUGUGGGUGCUGAGAGUCAGACCUGGGUCCUCUGCAAUAACAAAUGCUCUUAAAUGCCGUGCCAUCUCUCCAGCCCUGAGAUUGUACUCUUUUGUUGUAGAAGAACAGGAGAGAUGCAAGCCCUGUUCACAGUAGCAUUAAUCAACAGUGUCUUACGUCUGACUGACCCAUCCUCCCAGAGCAUAGAAGAUGUUACUUUCAUGCUUCUCCCUGUGUUGAGGAAAGCAGGCAUCCUUCCAAGGACUAGGCUGGAGGUCCACACAUAAACCUGAGCAGAGGCCUGUGUCCUCUUUAGCACAUGAUUCCUACUUGGCAUCCCCAGCGGCUGUUUGGGUCCUAAGGAGACAGAUAUAUCUACAAGGUCAGUCAGGGUAUUUCCUCAUUCCCUGGAACCAGAUGUCUAGUUGUGACCAGGAACAAGUCCACAGAGCUAUGGGGGCAAGUCCCUGCCAGGCAGUACCACUUCAGGAAUCCCUUAAAUCCUGAGCCUCAAGACAGAAUUGGAUUCAGAGUUUAGACAAGAUUCUAUCAACAACAACUGACCAGCUGGAAAGCCGCAAUCUAAUAGGAUACCACUUAGAGAGGUUCCUUUUGGGGAGAUCAGGGGUGGCCCCUGUAGCAAACAGGCUAGGCUCAGCUCAGACUCUAUCUUGUUCCUGUGGCAUUGUGUUAACAUACUCACUUCUCAAAAUAAUCAUGAUUUAAAAAUAGGAUUGAGGGCUGGAGGGAUGGCUCAGAGGUUAAGAGCACCGACUGCUCUUCCAGAGGUCCUGAGUUCAAUUCCCAUCAACCACAUGGUGGCUCACAACCAUCUGUAAUGAGAUCUGCUGCCCUCUUCUGGUGUGCAGAUAUACAUGGAAGCAGAAGGUUGUAUACAUAAUAAAUAAAAUCUUUAAAAAAAUAUGAUUGACAGCUGGUGUCAGUCUGGAGUUGUAUCCAAUGUAAUCCCUCACAGGGUUUCUUGGCUCAGCAGAUGAUAGACACAAUACUAUAUAACACAGC
rnacentral:lncRNA from 1 species